UGUGACUGGUACCACUUUUGUGUUGU
rnacentral:piRNA from 1 species